GUUAUGAGCUCUCCAAGCUGGAGAGCACGGUCGGCUCCCCGGAGAAGCCGCUGUCUGACCUGGGCAAGCUCAGCUACCGCAGCUACUGGUCCUGGGUGCUGCUGGAGAUCCUGCGGGACUUCCGGGGCACACUGUCCAUCAAGGACCUCAGGUGAGGGGGCCUCCCGGGCCCUGGGGGCAGGACUUGUCCUGAGAUGGGCCACGAUCCUGCCUCCUCAUACCCUGUCACCAUCCUGGCCAGAUCCCACAAGGGCACCAUGUCUGGCAUUUGCUCUCAUCCCUUUUUGCAGCCAGAUGACCAGCAUCACCCAGAAUGACAUCAUCAGUACCCUGCAGUCCCUCAAUAUGGUCAAGUACUGGAAGGGCCAGCACGUGAUCUGUGUCACACCCAAGCUGGUGGAGGAGCACCUCAAAAGUGCCCAGUAUAAGAAACCACCCAUCACAGUGGACUCCGUCUGCCUCAAGUGGGCACCCCCCAAGCACAAGCAAGUCAAGCUCUCCAAGAAGUGAGCGGCCUGGCCCCUGCUGUCGGACCCGAGCCUCCUGGCUCCCAGCCUGUAAAUAUGUAUAGACCUGUUUUGUCAUUUUUUUAAUAAAGUCAGUUCUGCUGGUG
rnacentral:sRNA from 1 species